rnacentral:rRNA from 1 species
UACGUAGGGUGCAAGCGUUAAUCGGAAUUACUGGGCGUAAAGCGUGCGUCGGCGGUUCGUUAUGUCUGCUGUGAAAGCCCCGGGCUUAACCUGGGAAUGGCAGUGGAAACUGGCGGGCUUGAGUGUGGCAGAGGGGGGUGGAAUUCCGCGUGUAGCAGUGAAAUGCGUAGAGAUGCGGAGGAACACCGAUGGCGAAGGCAGCCCCCUGGGCUGACACUGACGCUGAGGCACGAAAGCGUGGGGAGCAAACAGG